rnacentral:hammerhead_ribozyme from 1 species
AUCUAGUUGUCGAGUCUCAAAUAGGACGAAACACGCGUCUUGGAU